AGGAGCCUUGCAUCUUUUGGGAUCCCCUGAUCAUCUCAGCUGCAGCUUGGUAUUUUUUCACAAGUGUUAUCUGGUCCUGAGGUGAAGCUACUCUGUGUUGAAGAUGGCUACAGACACCCAGCUGCAGAGCCCUGGGCCCAGGAGGCUCUAGGCACCGGAGGGGAGGUGAUCCAGGUGAGUACCGGUGAGCAAGGGGUUCUGCCACCUUCUAACAGACAGUCCAAUGCUUCAGGGCCCCUGCUGGUAAGAGGUCACUGUGGAGGAGAGAGAAUGUGUGCAGCCUCAGAGGGCCGGAGCCACCUGCCAAUUAGGUUUGAUGGUCUUCAGCUGUCCUUGUACGGCACACGGUGACGGCAGCAGCCUCCGACUGGGGUCAGAGCCAGUGGCCCGAGAACCUCUCAGCUCAGGGGAGGCCGACCGAGUCAGUGAUCACAGGACCCUCUGAGCCAGCCGGGCGGCCUUUCUUCACACUGAAGAUGAAUUCACAUCCCCAGCUGUGGGAAAGAUAAGUGGAGGACUCCCACCUGGAGAGGGGAUGAGAGCUGGGUCCAGUUUUAUGGUUAGGAGGGAGGGAUUUUCAAAUGAGCCCAGGGGAAAGGGUCUGCCCUAACAGGCCCUUGGCACACAUAGGAGGAGCAGUUUACUUUUCAUCACUGGAGUAGGAUGUGCAGGGCAGAGCCGUUCAGGUCUGUGUCAUGUCCUUUGUCCAGUCUGUGUUUCGUGUCUUACAAUUCACAGUCACGGUGUCUUUGCUUUCUGCCCUCCAAGGUCUUAUCUGAGAUGUCAAAGCAUCAUUCCUAGAGUCUUGAACCUCUGCACUGCCCAGCCCAGUGCCCAUACCAUCCGUUCUUUGGCUCACUAGCUUGGACAUGCAUCGGAAUCGCAUCUGAGAAGUGUCAGGUCAGGUGUCUUUUACAGCCUCCUUUCAGGUUGUAUUGGUGGCUGUGCCGUGCAGUCAUCUCUUGUCAUCCCACCUAGGACUUGUGAGAAUCUAAGAAGAUUCUGAACAUAGCAUUGUCUCACAUCCAUCUUAGCAAUUUUGUAGGCAGUUCUUGCCCCAGGCCAUUCUGUUAGAGUGUGUUUUCAGGCUCCUCAGAGCCUCCUCCGUUCAGUCUCGCCGUAUCCUCCGUCUUCUCGUGCAGCAGCACAUCCAUUUUGGCGUCGUUCCUUUCUCAGAGUUCUCUCUCCUGGUUGCACCACAGCACUUGUCUGGAAAUGUGUCCUUGGAGUUUGUGUUGGGCCUGUAACUGCUCUGCCCUGCAGUGUAGACUUGGGGGUAAGUGGAGUAGAAAGGAGACUUUCCAGUUAACCUGUGGAUAGGCUUAGCUACUGAGGGCAGGGCCUUAAAGUUAAGGCAGUGUUUGUGCAGGUUGUCUUUGGACCCCAGGCGGCUUGUCUAAGGAGAAAUUAGAAUUGCACGGCAGUUAAGGUCUCUCCAUCUAUAUGGCUGACUUUGGUAAUUCAUUUCUUUGCAGCAUCAGAGGGACUGGAUGUAAAGCAGAGAUAAACAGAAGAAGCUGGAGGAGCACAGUCAGAAGAUGCAGAGCCCUCAGCCCAGCAGACGAUAGGCACUAGAGGGAAGGUGAGCCCGGUGAGCAAGGUGAGCAGUGACUGCAGGACAAAACUAGCUGCUCUUUUGCAGGCGGUGUACUUGUGGUGAAUCUGUGUACAUACUUGUUUUUUUGUUUUACAGGCAGUGCACAGACUUCUAACAUGCAGUCCAACGUGACAGGGACCCUGCCUGAGACGUACACAGCCUCACAGGGCCGAAGCCAACUCACAGUGAGGUGACAGACAAGGUUUGGUCCCCUCGAGCUGUCCUUGUACGUAAUCUCCGAGUAUUGAAAGGAUCAGCAAUGAAGCAUUGAGCUCUUUUGAUUGCAGGUGCCAUCCAGCUAACCUUUGGGAGCCAAUGAGCAUUGGAGGUGAGUCGGGGAGGCAGCAGGAGGAGCAGGAAUCCACUGCAGCUUUAGAAAUGCCCUCUAAUUUUGUCUCUCUCUCGCUCAUGUAUCCCAGGAGAUGACAGCACAUUGUCCAAGUCUGGUCAGAGCCAGUGACACAAGGACCUGCCUGGGUGACAUUGACUCUGAGUACUCUCACGAGGACAGGAACCUCUGAGGCAGCCCAGGUGCCCCUCCUCUGCAUCAAAGACGGAUUCGCAUCCCCGGCUCUCGGAAAGAUAAGUGCAGGGCAAAGCCCCAGAGAGGGGUUGGGAGUCGGUGCAAGUCUGUGCCUCUUCUGGAGGGAUUUUUGCAAUUAGUCCGGUGCAGGGGGUAUCCUGUAACAGGUUAUUUGGACACAUCAAAGGAAGGGCUUACUUUUUAUCGUUGGAUUCAUGUGUGCAGGGCAGAGCAGUUCCAGUCUGUGUCAGGUUCUCUGUCUUAUCCAUGUUUUGUGUCCUUCGUCUCUUAAUUGUGUCACAUGGUGUGUGUUGUCACAGGUACGGGGUGUCUCACUUGGAGUCAGCCUGGAACUGCUCUGCCCUGCUACGUGGAUCAAUGGGUAGAUAAAAUAUUGCUCAGAGUCUCACAUCAACAUGUCAGUUCCCUUAGGCAGUCGAGCCGAUGGCUGUACGGUCCUGCCGGAUGGAGCAGGUGUACAUAACUCGUGUGCAAUCAUUAUAGCUGAGUGUUUUGGAGCUGAUGGUACUUGGAUAGCAGGGCCUCGAAGCUGGGUUGUCAUUUGUAUUCUUGUGUGCUGCGGUCAGAGUUCUAACUCGCUCAGUGGAAAUGAGUUCUUUGAAGUGGUUCAGGUCUCAGUGACCAUGUGGGUGACCUGACUAACCGUUUGUUUUUUGUUGUUUUUUUUCAGAUAAGUGGACACAGUGUACCCCAGACCGAGACAAGUUGAAGCAGCCUAGGAAGAAGGUUGUCUUGGGUGUUGGAUGAAGGAUGGCAGUUUUAGCCAUAGGAGUCCUUUACCUUGUGCCUUUUUGUUUUUUAUUUUCCAGAUGGGGCCCAAGCGGUCUCGAGGGGUAGCGGCUCAGCAAGGAGACGAGCGAGGUGCCGAAGGUCCAUCCUAUAAGAGGUCAAGCUAAAGGAGCCCGAGAUAGCCAGUAUGAGGCAGUACGUCAGCACAAGCCACCACAUCUGGGUUGUCUUGCAGCGGCCGUCUGUCCACUUAACGGUGUGUAGCAACGCUUCAGCCUGUAGUCUGAUGGGGUUUAGAGGUUUUUGGCUUUCCUUGUGAGCAAUCCGUAAAUGUUUGAGAGCUCAGUGUUUGAGCAUUUACCUAUUUCAUUUGCAGGGGCGGUCUUGGGAGCAGCUGAAGAGAGAGGAGCCUUGUAGGUAUCCUGGAAGGUGACAGCCACAGUGUCUGACUCCGGUCAGGGCCUCGGUGAUGGUGAGUAGGGGGAUCACUGGGGUUCGAGCCCUGUGCCACACAACUCACAUAUUGGUUAUGGUUUUCUUUCUUGUAGUUGACUCCGAGUAACCUCGUGACUGCAGGAACACCUCACGAUGGGGCGACUGACCCGGUUCGGUCCUCUCGAGCUCUCCUUGUCUGCUAUCUCCAAGUAUUAAAAGGAUGAGCAACGAGGCAGUGAGCUUUAGUGAUAGCAUGUGCCAUCCGGGUAACCUUUGGGAGCCAAUGAGCAUUGGAGGUGAGACAGGGAGGCAGCAGGAGGAGCGGGGAUCCACUGCAGGUUUAGAGAUGCCCUCUAAUUUUGUCUCUCGCUCACUCAGGUAUCCCAGAAGAUGACAGCACGUUGUCCAACUCUGGUCAGAGUCAGUGACCCGAGGACCUGCCUGGGUGACAGUGAGUAGAGGGAUCAUGGGGGCUGGGGCCACGUGCCACACUACUGAGAUAUGGUGUCUGGUUUUCUUUCUCGCAGUUGACUCCGAGUGGUCUGACGAUGGCAGGAACCUCUGAGCCAGCCCAGGUGCCCCUCCUCUGCAUCAAAGAUGGCUUCGCAUCCCCGGCUCUCGGAAAGAUAAGUGCAGGGCAAAGACCCAGAGAGGGGUUGGGAGUCGGGGCAAGUCUGUGCCUCACCUGGAGGGAUUUUUGAAAUUAGUCCGGUGGUGGGGGUAUCCUGGAACAGGUUAUUGGGACGCAUCAAAGGAAGGGCUUACUUCUUAUCAUUGGAUUCACGUGUGCCGGGCAGAGCAGUUUCGGUCUGUGUCACGUCCUUUGUCUGGUCCGUGUUUUGUGUCACGUGGUGUGUGUGGUCACAGGCGUGGGGUGUCUCACUUGGGGUCAGCCUGGAACUGCUCUGCCCUGCUCCGUGGAUCAGUGGGUAGAUGGAAUAUGGCUCGGAGUCUGACAUCAACAUGUCAGUUCCCUUAGAGAGUGGAGCCGAUGGCUGUCCAGUCUGUGAGCAGGAUGGUCUUGUGAUUCCCUGCUUGGGUGUAUAGAGUCCUGGCUAGGUAGAGUAGCAAAGAGUGUCUAGGGUUUAGAGGUUUUUGGCUUUCCUUGUGAGCAAUCCCUACAUGUUUGAGAGCUGAGUGUUUGAGCCUUUGGCCAUUUCAUUUGCAGGGACGGUCUUGGGAGCAGCUGAAGAGAGAGGAGCCUUGUAGGUAUCCCAGAAGAUGACAGCCACAGUGUCUGACUCUGGUCAGGACCUUGGUGCCGUUGACUCGGAGUAACGUCCUGACCGCAGGAACCACCUCAUGAUGGGGCGACUGACUCAGAUUGGUCGUCUUGAGCUGUCCUUGUCUGCAGUCUCCGAGUUUUAAAAGGAUGAGCAGCAAGGCACAGAACUUUAGUGAUGGCAGGUGCCAUCCGGGUAACUUUUGGAAGUGUCCAGGCAUUGGAGGUGAGUCGGGGAGGCAGCAUGAGGAGCGGGGAUGCACUGCAGCUUUAGAAAUAACCUCUAUUUUUUUCUUUCUUUUAUUUCUCUUGCUCUCUUCUUCUGAUUGUAUUUCUCUUGGGCUCUUCUCCUGAUUUUAAUUCUCUUGGGCUCUUCUCCUGAUUUAAUUCUCUUGGGCUCUUCUCCUGAUUUUAAUUCUCUUGGGCUCUUCUCCUGAUUUUAAUUCUCUUGGGCUCUUCUCCUGAUUUUUAUUUUUUUUAAGGUUCUUCUCCUGGUUUUCAUUUUUUUAGGCUCCUCUCCUGAUAUUAAUUUUU